rnacentral:misc_RNA from 1 species
AAGUCGUAACAAGGUUUCCGUAGGUGAACCUGCGGAAGGAUCAUUAUCAAAAGUCAGUCGGGAGCCCUAGUGGCUGCCGUCUACACCCAAGUCUUUUGUGUACUCAUUGUUUCCUCGGCGGCGUAAGUCGCCGAAUGGACAAACUAAAACCUCUUUGUAAUUGCAAUCAGCGUCAUUAAAUAUAAUAAUAUUUACAACUUUCAACAACGGAUCUCUUGGUUCUG